CAGGGAAUAUUCCGCAAUGGGCGCAAGCCUGACGGAGCAACGCCGCGAGAGGGAUGAAGGCCUCUGGGCUGUAAACCUCUUUUCUCAAGGAAGAAGAUCUGACGGUACUUGAGGAAUAAGCCACGGCUAAUUCCGUGCCAGCAGCCGCGGUAAUACGGGAGUGGCAAGCGUUAUCCGGAAUUAUUGGGCGUAAAGCGUCCGCAGGCGGCUUUUCAAGUCUGCUGUUAAAACGUGGAGCUUAACUCCAUCAAGGCAGUGGAAACUGAUUGGCUUGAGUGUGGUAGGGGCAGAGGGAAUUCCCGGUGUAGCGGUGAAAUGCGUAGAUAUCGGGAAGAACACCAGUGGCGAAGGCGCUCUGCUGGGCCAUAACUGACGCUCAUGGACGAAAGCCAGGGGAGCGAAAGGG
rnacentral:rRNA from 1 species